rnacentral:rRNA from 1 species
CCUACGGGUGGCAGCAGUGGGGAAUAUUGGGCAAUGGGCGCAAGCCUGACCCAGCAACGCCGCGUGAAGGAAGAAGGGGGGAGGGGUGUAAAAGGAGGGGAAGAGGGAAGAGCAGAAGACGGUACCUCUUGAAUAAGCCACGGCUAACUACGUGCCAGCAGCCGCGGUAAUACGUAGGUGGCAAGCGUUGUCCGGAUUUACUGGGUGUAAAGGGCGUGCAGCCGGGAAGACAAGUCAGAUGUGAAAUCCCGCGGCUCAACCGCGGAACUGCAUUUGAAACUGUUUUUCUUGAGUACCGGAGAGGUCAUCGGAAUUCCUUGUGUAGCGGUGAAAUGCGUAGAUAUAAGGAAGAACACCAGUGGCGAAGGCGGAUGACUGGACGGCAACUGACGGUGAGGCGCGAAAGCGUGGGGAGCAAACCGGAUUAGAUACCCGGUUAGUC